UGAGGAAUAUUGGUCAAUGGGCGAGAGCCUGAACCAGCCAAGCCGCGUGAGGGAUGAAGGCCCUAUGGGUCGUAAACCUCUUUUGUCAGGGAACAAAAGCGAGUAUGUAUACUGGUCUGAGUGUACCUGAAGAAAAAGCAUCGGCUAACUCCGUGCCAGCAGCCGCGGUAAUACGGAGGAUGCGAGCGUUAUCCGGAUUUAUUGGGUUUAAAGGGUGCGUAGGCGGCGGUGCAAGUCAGCGGUAAAAGCCCGGGGGCUCAACCCCGGCGAGCCGUUGAAACUGCAGUGCUAGAGAAGGCGAGAGGUACGCGGAAUGCGCAGUGUAGCGGUGAAAUGCUUAGAUAUUGCGCAGAACUCCGAUUGCGAAGGCAGCGUACUGGCGCCUGACUGACGCUGAGGCACGAAGGCGUGGGGAUCGAACAGGAUUAGAUACC
rnacentral:rRNA from 1 species